AUUGAACGCUGGCGGCAGGCCUAACACAUGCAAGUCGAGCGGUUGAAGGGAGCUUGCUCCUGGAUUCAGCGGCGGACGGGUGUGUAAUGCCUAGGAAUCUGCCUGGUAGUGGGGGAUAACGUCAGGAAACGGGCGCUAAUACCGCAUACGUUCUGAGGGAGAAAGUGGGGGAUCUUCGGACCUCACGCUAUCAGCUGAGCCUAGGUCGGAUUAGCUAGUUGGUGGGGUAAAGGCCUACCAAGGCAACGAUCCGUACCUGGUCUGAGAGGAUGACCAGUCACACUGGAACUGAGACACGGUCCAGACUCCUACGGGAGGCAGCAGUGGGGAAUAUUGGACAAUGGGCGAAAGCCUGAUCCAGCAAUGCCGCGUGUGUGAAGAAGGUCUUCGGAUUUUAAAGCACUUUAGGAUGGAAGGAAGGGCAGUAGGUUAAUACCUUGCUGUUUUGACGUUACCGACAGAAUAAGCACCGGCUAACUACGUG
rnacentral:rRNA from 1 species